GGAAUCCGAAUUGUUCAUCGAUAACAAUGC
rnacentral:sRNA from 1 species